rnacentral:rRNA from 1 species
GGGGAAUAUUGGACAAUGGGCGAAAGCCUGAUCCAGCCAUGCCGCGUGUGUGAAGAAGGUCUUCGGAUUGUAAAGCACUUUAAGUUGGGAGGAAGGGCAGUAAGUUAAUACCUUGCUGUUUUGACGUUACCGACAGAAUAAGCACCGGCUAACUCUGUGCCAGCAGCCGCGGUAAUACAGAGGGUGCAAGCGUUAAUCGGAAUUACUGGGCGUAAAGCGCGCGUAGGUGGUUCGUUAAGUUGGAUGUGAAAGCCCCGGGCUCAACCUGGGAACUGCAUCCAAAACUGGCGAGCUAGAGUACGGUAGAGGGUGGUGGAAUUUCCUGUGUAGCGGUGAAAUGCGUAGAUAUAGGAAGGAACACCAGUGGCGAAGGCGACCACCUGGACUGAUACUGACACUGAGGUGCGAAAGCGUGGGGAGCAAACA